AGCGAGUUAAAGCGACCAGCGUCUGCUCGACUUUUCAACCAGGGAAAUCUAUCUUGCAACCUUGCCGUCGAGCAGUUUUUGGUCAUGUUUGGCAACUCGGUAUUUGUUUUGGUUUUUUUCAAGCAGUUUUGACAGAAAGAAAAAAACAAAGCAAAAAUUGCGAUUUUUUGUCAACGACCGGAAAAGUUUGCUCCGGGGUGAUCGCCCGGCUGUCCUCGUUUGUGGGGGCCAUCACGAUCGGCAAUCUGGUAAAGAGCACACUCGGCCCGGAGGGAAUGGACAAGGUUCAGAUUGCGCACGGCCGUAGCACCGGCCGGGUUGAGGUCACCAACGUCGGGGCUCGAUUUUGAAGGCGGUCGGCGUGGACAUGAGUCGCUUCCAGGACGAUGAGGUUGGCGUGGAAUGACUUCCGUGACGGUGUUGGUGUCAGAGUUGCUGCAAUGCUGAGCGAGGCGGAAAAGUUGCUGGAGCAAAAAAUUCACCCUCAAACGAGUGCGGCCAAGCAGGCGCCAAAACUAUGUGCCGGCUGUUGCUUGGAGGAUUCGUUCCUGGACAAGGGUUUCCUGUUGGACAAGAAGACCGUUGUGCACAAGCCGAACACAAGUGAACGCAAAGAUCUUGAUCGCCAACACGCCGAUGGACACGGACAAGAUCAAGGACUCGAUGGUGAAGAUUGCUGAGCUGGAGGUCGCCGAGAAGGAGAAGAUGAAGGACAAGGUGAUAACCAGGACCAGGCUCGUCUCGGUCGUUGCGAUCUGUUCGAAAGUUUGCAUCGAUGUGAUCGCCCGUUCCAACAUCUGCAGGCCACGGUGCCGGAAUAUCUCGCAAGGAGGCAAGUUGCUGCCCAACAGAAACUUCGCCCCAAAGUGGUAAGCGGAGGAAUUUGGAGGAGAUUUCGGUGGAAUUCGAGGAGGAGAAAAAGUUCAUGGAUAAGUUUUUUUUAUCCGGCGAGUUUAAGUUUUUAAUUUUUUUAAUUUGUUGGUACAUUCUAUCGAACAUUCCGGUGUCAGCGCUCAAUCGACAUCCUGCUAGGCAUUGGCAUUUUAGUGCGACUCGCAGCAAAACAGUCCGGCGCGCUGCAGCUGGAGAAUCUAAAAAUUAAGGUGCUUCUGUCGGCCGCUGACGAGAAUCUGGAAAAGCUAAGCAGCAACUCAUCCGGGAAGAGCCGACGUGGUAUGCGAUGUGGAAAAGUAAAAGACGUUUGUUGUUGUUGAACACUGGGCCAGAACAGAACACUAGAUAUAUUCUCGCUGCAUCAGAGAGUGCGUCGGCCGCCAAGGACACACUUAACCAGCUGGGCAGCAUUCCGUGGAAGAUCAACAGCGAAGUGAUGGCGUUGUUCAUCAGAGCAGCAUCUCCAUGCUGGACCUUUCCUGCCCUCCUUGUCGCCAAUCGAAGAAACCGUUCCGCGCAGUGAAUUGACCGGUUACGAUUGGUUCAUCCUGAUGCGCAAGAAGAUGACCCACUGGCGCAAAGCUCACCUGAUUCCCCCGCACCUGAACCACUCACUCUCUCCUUAGUUCGGUAUGAUUUUGUACACAUAAUUGAAUAAAAUCCUGUUUUUUUCUGUUGA